AGUGAACGCUGGCGGUAGGCCUAACACAUGCAAGUCGAACGGCAGCACAGUAAGAGCUUGCUCUUACGGGUGGCGAGUGGCGGACGGGUGAGGAAUACAUCGGAAUCUACUUUUUCGUGGGGGAUAACGUAGGGAAACUUACGCUAGUACCGCAUACGACCUACGGGUGAAAGCAGGGGAUCUUCGGACCUUGCGCGAUUGAAUGAGCCGAUGUCGGAUUAGCUAGUUGGCGGGGUAAAGGCCCACCAAGGCGACGAUCCGUAGCUGGUCUGAGAGGAUGAUCAGCCACACUGGAACUGAGACACGGUCCAGACUCCUACGGGAGGCAGCAGUGGGGAAUAUUGGACAAUGGGCGCAAGCCUGAUCCAGCCAUACCGCGUGUGUGAAGAAGGCCUUCGGGUUGUAAAGCCCUUUUGUUGGGAAAGAAAAGCAGCAGGUUAAUACCCCGCUGUUCUGACGGUACCCAAAGAAUAAGCACCGGCUAACUUCGUG
rnacentral:rRNA from 1 species